rnacentral:rRNA from 1 species
GACGUAGGGCGCGAGCGUUGUCCGGAUUUAUUGGGCGUAAAGAGCUCGUAGGCGGCUUGUCGCGUCGACUGUGAAAUCCCGCGGCUCAACUGCGGGUCUGCAGUCGAUACGGGCAGGCUAGAGUUCGGUAGGGGAGACUGGAAUUCCUGGAUGUAGCGGUGAAAUGCGUAGAUAUCAAGUGGAACACCAGUGGCGAAGGCGAGUCCCUGGACAACACCUGACACUGGAGGCACGAAAGCUAGGGGAGCAAACAGG